rnacentral:rRNA from 1 species
UCCAGACUCCUACGGGAGGCAGCAGUGGGGGAUAUUGCACAAUGGGGGAAACCCUGAUGCAGCGACGCCGCGUGAGUGAAGAAGUAUUUCGGUAUGUAAAGCUCUAUCAGCAGGGAAGAAAAAAGACGGUACCUGACUAAGAAGCCCCGGCUAACUACGUGCCAGCAGCCGCGGUAAUACGUAGGGGGCAAGCGUUAUCCGGAUUUACUGGGUGUAAAGGGAGCGUAGACGGCAAUACAAGUCGGAAGUGAAAUACCCGGGCUUAACCUGGGAACUGCUUUGGAAACUGUAUGGCUGGAGUGCUGGAGAGGUAAGCGGAAUUCCUAGUGUAGCGGUGAAAUGCGUAGAUAUUAGGAGGAACACCAGUGGCGAAGGCGGCUUACUGGACAGUAACUGACGUUGAGGCUCGAAAGCGUGGGGAGCAAACAGGAUUAGAUACCCGCGUA